UUGGGCGAUACCUUCUGGAGACAACUGAUUGAGGGAGGUGUUCUUGAGCUGCCGGGAAGAGGCUAGAAGGAUGGUUAAUUGAUCAGUGAUCUCCCUGCUUGACCUCCUGUUGUGAUCCGAUUGAUUCCAAUGAGGUUGAGUGCUGUGGAUCAACAAGCACGACUGUGAGGUGAGGUUCUGUGUACUGUAGGUGUUCUUGGUUCUGCUCUACUUGUUCCAGCAUCAACAGUAGCUGUGAUUUGAGAACCCUCCCAAGCUGGCUACUCCUCUAUUUGAUACUAAAAUGGCAGAGGACCCUAAGAUGACAUACAUAGACCUAGAUAAUCUUCAAAUUGUGUUUUGAACGAAGAGUAGUGUUUGGUCUUGCAUUGUGAUGGCGUCUGAGUGUUGGCUUGGUCUCUGUUGGCUUGCUACAUAUCUAGAAAGCUCCAUGAUUUGUGCUAAGCUCAAAAUAUCAGUAGAUUUGUUGUGGUAGUGCCUUAACAGGAUUUGAGACUUCUCCAUUCAGGAAAAGACAAGUCCGAUAGAUACAAAAAUUACAAGAUUGCAAGUUUGGAUUGAAGGUCACAAGAAAAAAAAAUGGGGAGCCUAGUACUCAAGCUGUUGGAGAGAAAAUAGUGGACCUAAUUCGACCAAAUGAUGAAAUGCAGUUUCUCGAUGAUGCA